AUGGAGGUGACGUUCGAGACGACGCAGGGCCGCCGAUUCGUCGUCGAGAUUUGGUAUUUCUCCACCGUGCGGAGGAUCAAGGAGUACAUCCUGAAGCAGGAGGGCAUCCCCGUGGAGUCCCAGCGCCUCUUCUUCCAGGGCAAGGAGCUCGAGGACGACCGCGACACCGAGUACUACCCCAUCGUGGAGGGAUCCCACGUGCUCAUCGUCCUGCCGGAUGGCUCUCCCGCCGCCGCCGUCACCGCCGCCGCUGACGGCCAUGCCGCAGGCGCCCCCGGCGCCGUCGUCCAUGUCGUCGCCUCCGGGCCGGCCCUCGGCCAGGGCCGCAGCGUCGCGCUCGAACUGGACGCGUCCUGCACCGUCGCCCGUCUCAAGGAGAUGCUCCAGGAGCGCACGGACGGCGCGCUGCCCGCCACCAAGGUGAGCGUGUUCUUGGACAAGGCCGAGAUGGAGGAUGACAAGGCGCUGGUGGAGUUCGAGCCGUCGUCGGCUGAGGGAAUGAAGAUGGAGGUGCGCGUGGUCGUGCGCCAGCCGCCGCCGUCGCCAGCGUGCAACAACGGGAACGGGGCGGCCAAGGUUAAUAACAAGCUGCAGCAGAGGAUGUCUGUGGAGGUCAAGUGGGGCGCCAAGACCGCGACGCUGGAGGUGAGCGACAUGGACGCCGUCAAGGAGCUGCGGGCGGAGCUGGGCAGCGCGGCGCCGCACCUCCUCCUGCCCAACGACGGCGCCUACUUCUUCAUCUACAAGCAGAACGUCAUGGAGGAGGAGCGCACGCUGCGCUGGCACGACGUCAAGACCGGCGACACCAUCGAGAUCUUCAACGGCAGGGUCACCGGAGGCGCUUGA
rnacentral:rRNA from 1 species